CCGAAGAUAAGAAAUAGGUUGAGAAAACUACUCAACUGAAAACACAGGCCACAUCUCAUGGACAAAGAAGGAUGCCACAGAAAGCGUGGUCCCAAACACAAAAGACAAAAUCAAGAGCCACGCAGAACAAUAAAAUAAGGAACAGUUCCCCAAAAGGCUCCAAUUAGAGAAUACUCACUGCUCCUGGAGUCAGCAUAGUUGUUUUAAAAAGUUCUGGCAUUUUUUAAAAUCCAACCAGAGAUAAGGCACAUUCUUCACUAUGUAAAAUAUUUAACUACAUGGUUAUUAUACAUUUUAAUAUAACUAUGAGCAAAAUAAAAUCAUUCAAUCAUUCACAUGUAAAAAUGAGCCUUUGGUUAUUAGAUAGAUAGAUAGAUACAUACAUACAUACAUACAUGCAUACAUACAUACAUGAUAAAUAGA
rnacentral:lncRNA from 1 species